rnacentral:misc_RNA from 1 species
GAAAUGCGAUAAGUAAUGUGAAUUGCAGAUUUCAGUGAAUCAUCGAAUCUUUGAACGCACCUUGCGCCUUGUGGUAUUCCACAAGGCAUGCCCGUUUGAGUAUCAUUAAAUAAUCAACCUCAAAACCUUUGAGUUCUUGAGGCUUGGUCUUGAGGGUUUUUGCAGGCUUUUUCCAAAGUCCGCUCCCUUUAAAUCUAUUAGCGAGACUUUUCCCUGUGCUGAACCAUCUCUUUGGCGUGAUAAUUAUCUGCGUCAAUUUUUGGGUUCUCGUUGGGCUUGCUUCUAAUCGUCAUUUUCUUUGACAACUCGGAUUAGGGUGCAUAUAUGCGCCUUUUUCCAAACCUUUUUUGAUCUCAAAUCGGGUAGGACUACCCGCUGAACUUAA